UACGAAGGGGGGCUAGCGUUGCUCGGAAUGACUGGGCGUAAAGGGGCGCGUAGGCGGAUGGCACAGUCAGAUGUGAAAUUCCCGGGCUUAACCUGGGGGCUGCAUUUUGAUACGUGUUGUCUUGAGUUCGGAAGAGGGUCGUGGAAUUCCCCAGUGUAGAGGUGAAAUUCGUAGAUAUUGGGAAGAACACCAGUGGCGAAGGGCGGCUCACUGGCCCGAUACUGACGCUGAGGCACGAAAGCGUGGGGAG
rnacentral:rRNA from 1 species